UGCUUUAACGGGCUUCUUCUUUCUUUGCACUUGUACAGGAGAGGUGAUCAAAUCCAAUAUUGCUGCUGCUCUUGUUUUAGACAAAAUCCAAUUUUGCGUGACAAGGUUUUAUUAAUUUGGCUUGUCGCUGCUAUCUUCAUGAUUUUCUAUCCGAUCUGUGCUUGUUAACCUCAAGCGCUGUGUUGUAAAAGGCGUUCUAGGCGAACGAGUCGCUUAAUGACCGCCAAGUAAAAAGCCCAACGCGCCAAAUUGUCAGGAAAUUUUGUGUUUUCUCAAGUUGUCCUCGAAGCCGGAAAAUCUGUACGGGAUCCUUCCAUUUAAUUAGCCAACGGAGUUACUUGUCUCGAUCUCUUGAUAAAAAGAGGAGAUGGGAAUCACUAGACGUUCCAAACGUUUCUGGAUUGGAAGGAAAGAAGAUUAGGGCAACUGCUGAAGAAACAGCUGAAAAUUUGAAAGAUAAGAACAAACAAAAUAAGGAUAUUACGAGGGAGAAUCGAGAGGAUGGGCGAAAGGAUGACAUGUGGUAGUGUGGCAAUUUUGAACAAAGUCCGAGAGCGUGAACUGAAAAGUAGUGGAACCUUGUCGUGGCAGCCUUCCAUCUCUUGUUUGAUUUUCUUUUGAAACCGAAGCAAUGUGUUUGAGAUUCCAGGAGCAAGCACCAUGGUACACUCCAUCCCUUCCCCAUCCUCAAGUGUAAGGAAGGGAUGGAGAGGGACAGGCAGUUCGUGCCUUCUCAUCCCUUCCCUACAUGAAACGCGUACGAAUAGUGCCAAACGAGUAUUCAGUACGCGUAUUUUUUUUUUCAUGAAAAAAUAUUUAUUUAGGUAAAAAAAAGAUUUAGAGUGAAAAAAAUAUAUCAAAUAGGUAAAAAAAUAUAUCAAAUAGGUAAAAAAAUAUAUCAAAUAGGGAAGGGAUAUCCCUCUCCAUAGUGCUAGCUCUAAGAAGAGAACAAAUGAAUUUGACUUAA